CCUUGGGAGCCAGAGAGGAUCUUGAAGGACUGUCCUCAGGGCAAGGAAGGACUAGGGCUGCAGCCCUGUGUAUUUGCAGACUCGCCUGAAACCCUCUCCUAUUCACUCAAAGGACCAUAGUCCCAGGGAAAUGGGAGGCCAAGGAAGUGCACAGACCUACUGGAACUGUCCCUGAGCCCAGGAUAUCUCUGAGGUCCUCACGCAGGCCAGCCUGGCUCCCUGUCAGUGCUUCCCCUGUAACAGGGCACUAGAGAGGCCAGGCAGUGUCAGCCGGACCCUGGAGAACACAGCAGGAGGUUGCGGUGUCUUGGAGAGCCAGGGACCAAGGCCAGAGAGCUGAGCCCGCAGGGAAGCUCCAGGCAGAAACAGGUGAAGGAGCCAUCCAGGGCAGCCUGGAGCUGAAUGCCAAGGCUAGUCCCACAGUGGGCAGGUCUUCCCAAUGCUGCCAGGUUCUCUGAACAGCUGGAAAAUCCCUAAGGGCAACAGGACCUCAGCUCUGGGUGGAGACAUGAGCCCACCGUGUGUGUGAGGCACACACAGGGCCUCAAGGACAUCUGUUCACCGAGGGUUGGCUGAUUCCUCCAGUCCUCAGAUGUGACCAGCCUGCAGGGAGGAGGCUGGUCUAGUCCCGCCGCAGGGUCCACGUGCUCUGUCCGUGGGCAUGAUCCUCUCUGGUGCAGCAACACCCCCACCCCUAGAACCAUAAUCACGGAGGAGCUCCGAGGGGCCCAAGAGCCUCAGCACACCACUAGGUCCUGCAAAGCCCUCGACCUGAGGAGCCAGCACCAGGGUAGGCCCCCGCGAGGGGAGGAGAAGGCAGAGACAGGUGAAGGAGCCGUCCAGGGGAGGAGAAGGCAGAAGCCACAGGGAACCUGAACAACCCGCCCCCACCCUGCCCCCAGCAGUGGCUGCUCCUGGGUGCGAACUCAGACCUGCCUCAGCCCAGUGACUCCAACCUUUGCUGGGAAAGAUGCCACAGAAGAGGUGAUUUCCUUGAACCAAAUCACACUCCAAGAGUGUCCCC
rnacentral:lncRNA from 1 species